GGCGGCAUGCCUUACACAUGCAAGUCGAACGGCAGCACGGGGGCAACCCUGGUGGCGAGUGGCGAACGGGUGAGUAAUACAUCGGAACGUGUCCUGUAGUGGGGGAUAGCCCGGCGAAAGCCGGAUUAAUACCGCAUACGAUCUACGGAAGAAAGCGGGGGAUCGCAAGACCUCGCGCUAUAGGGGCGGCCGAUGGCAGAUUAGCUAGUUGGUGGGGUAAAGGCCUACCAAGGCGACGAUCUGUAGCUGGUCUGAGAGGACGACCAGCCACACUGGGACUGAGACACGGCCCAGACUCCUACGGGAGGCAGCAGUGGGGAAUUUUGGACAAUGGGGGAAACCCUGAUCCAGCAAUGCCGCGUGUGUGAAGAAGGCCUUCGGGUUGUAAAGCACUUUUGUCCGGAAAGAAAACUUCUGCCCUAAUACGGCGGGAGGAUGACGGUACCGGAAGAAUAAGCACCGGCGAACUACGUGCCAGCAGCCGCGGUAAUACGUANGGUGCGAGCGUUAAUCGGAAUUACUGGGCGUAAAGCGUGCGCAGGCGGUUCGUUAA
rnacentral:rRNA from 1 species